rnacentral:rRNA from 1 species
GACACGGCCCAGACUCCUACGGGAGGCAGCAGUAGGGAAUCUUCCGCAAUGGACGAAAGUCUGACGGAGCAACGCCGCGUGUAUGAAGAAGGUUUUCGGAUCGUAAAGUACUGUUGUUAGAGAAGAAUAAGGAUAAGAGUAACUGCUUGUCCCUUGACGGUAUCUAACCAGAAAGCCACGGCUAACUACGUGCCAGCAGCCGCGGUAAUACGUAGGUGGCAAGCGUUGUCCGGAUUUAUUGGGCGUAAAGCGCGC